UGAGUUAUUGAAUCAAUGGGAUCUUUAGAA
rnacentral:piRNA from 1 species